rnacentral:rRNA from 1 species
GAUGAACGCUGGCGGCGUGCCUAAUACAUGCAAGUCGAGCGAACGGACGAGAAGCUUGCUUCUCUUAUGUUAGCGGCGGACGGGUGAGUAACACGUGGAUAACCUACCUAUAAGACUGGGAUAACUUCGGGAAACCGUAGCUAAUACCGGAUAAUAUUUUGAACCGCAUGGUUCAAAAGUGAAAGACGGUCUUGCUGUCACUUAUAGAUGGAUCCGCGCUGCAUUAGCUAGUUGGUAAGGUAACGGCUUACCAAGGCAACGAUGCAUAGCCGACCUGAGAGGGUGAUAGGACACACUGGAACUGAGACACGGUCCAGACUCCUACGGGAGGCAGCAGUAGGGAAUCGUCCGCAAUGGGCGAAAGCCUGACGGAGCAAAGCCGCGUGAGUGAUGAAGGGCUUCGGAUCGUAAAACUCUGUUAUUAGGGAAGAACAUAUGUGUAAGGAACUGUGCACAUCUUGACGGUACCUAAUCAGAAAGCCACGGCUAACUACGUG